AAGAUCUUAUUUUCUAGGGAUCAGGGAUUAUUUCUAUAGCAUGGGACUAGAGAAGUUUCUGAUCGUGUAGAGCACCCGAAGCCACGAGGAGUCAGAGCAUUCUCUCCUGAGCGUGAAGCCAGCUCUAGAUGUCGCUUCUGCGGCUGCCUUUGGCCAUUGAUGAUCUUUCUCCCUUUUCUCUGGAAAGGGUAGAGGGAAAGAAUGCAGUCUAAGUGGU